GACGAACGCUGGCGGCGUGCCUAAUACAUGCAAGUAGAACGCUGAAGCUUGGUGCUUGCACCGAGCGGAUGAGUUGCGAACGGGUGAGUAACGCGUAGGUAACCUGCCUGGUAGCGGGGGAUAACUAUUGGAAACGAUAGCUAAUACCGCAUAAAAUAGAUUAUCGCAUGAUAAUUCAUUGAAAGGUGCAAAUGCAUCACUACCAGAUGGACCUGCGUUGUAUUAGCUAGUUGGUGGGGUAACGGCUCACCAAGGCGACGAUACAUAGCCGACCUGAGAGGGUGAUCGGCCACACUGGGACUGAGACACGGCCCAGACUCCUACGGGAGGCAGCAGUAGGGAAUCUUCGGCAAUGGACGGAAGUCUGACCGAGCAACGCCGCGUGAGUGAAGAAGGUUUUCGGAUCGUAAAGCUCUGUUGUAAGAGAAGAACGAGUGUGAGAGUGGAAAGUUCACACUGUGACGGUAUCUUACCAGAAAGGGACGGCUAACUACGUGCCAGCAGCCGCGGUAAUACGUAGGUCCCGAGCGUUGUCCGGAUUUAUUGGGCGUAAAGCGAGCGCAGGCGGUUAGAUAAGUCUGAAGUUAAAGGCUGUGGCUUAACCAUAGUACGCUUUGGAAACUGUUUAACUUGAGUGCAAGAGGGGAGAGUGGAAUUCCAUGUGUAGCGGUGAAAUGCGUAGAUAUAUGGAGGAACACCGGUGGCGAAAGCGGCUCUCUGGCUUGUAACUGACGCUGAGGCUCGAAAGCGUGGGGAGCAAACAGG
rnacentral:rRNA from 1 species